AUACUUACCUGGACGGGGUCUAUGGGCGAUCAUGAAGGCUCAUGGCCUAGACCAGUGACCCACAUUGCACUUUGUGGGUGCAUCGGUUUACCAUCUCCCCAAACGGGAGAGUGGACGUCAUAAUUUAUGGGAGAGGGGUACGCGUUCGCGCGGCCCCUA
rnacentral:snRNA from 1 species